ACGUAGGGUGCGAGCGUUAAUCGGAAUUACUGGGCGUAAAGCGUGCGCAGGCGGUUUUGUAAGACCGAUGUGAAAUCCCCGGGCUUAACCUGGGAACUGCAUUGGUGACUGCAAGGCUUGAGUGUGUCAGAGGGAGGUGGAAUUCCGCGUGUAGCAGUGAAAUGCGUAGAUAUGCGGAGGAACACCGAUGGCGAAGGCAGCCUCCUGGGAUAACACUGACGCUCAUGCACGAAAGCGUGGGGAGCAAACAG
rnacentral:rRNA from 1 species